UUCUUUCUCGGCUAUGACCCUAGAUCGAUGGAUUUCACCGGCGUUUUCAAAUCUCAGGGUUUAUUUCUCCGGCGAUAACCCUAGAGAUAGAUGGAUUUCACCGGCGUUUUCACAUCUCAGGGUUUAUUUCUCCGGCGAUAAGCCUAGAGAUAGAUGGAUUUCACCGGCGUUUUCACAUCU